rnacentral:rRNA from 1 species
UGUCGCGUCUGCUGGUGAAAUCCCGAGGCUCAACCUCGGGCCCUUCAGUGUGUACGGGCAGACUAGAGUGCGGUAGGGGAGAUUGGAAUUCCUGGUGUAGCGGUGGAAUGCGCAGAUAUCAGGAGGAACACCGAUGGGCGAAGGCAGAUCUCUGGGCCGUAACUGACGCUGAGGAGCGAAAGGGUGGGGAGCAAACAGGCUUAGAUACCCUGGUAGUCCACCCCGUAAACGUUGGGAACUAGUUGUGGGGUCCAUUCCACGGAUUCCGUGACGCAGCUAACGCAUUAAGUUCCCCGCCUGGGGAGUACGGCCGCAAGGCUAAAACUCAAAGGAAUUGACGGGGACCCGCACAAGCGGCGGAGCAUGCGGAUUAAUUCGAUGCAACGCGAAGAACCUUACCAAGGCUUGACAUAUACGAGAACGGGCCAGAAAUGGUCAACUCUUUGGACACUCGUAAACAGGUGGUGCAUGGUUGUCGUCAGCUCGUGUCGUGAGAUGUUGGGUUAAGUCCCGCAACGAGCGCAACCCUCGUUCUAUGUUGCCAGCACGUAAUGGUGGGAACUCAUGGGAUACUGCCGGGGUCAACUCGGAGGAAGGUGGGGAUGACGUCAAAUCAUCAUGCCCCUUAUGUCUUGGGCUUCACGCAUGCUACAAUGGCCGGUACAAAGGGCUGCAAUACCGUGAGGUGGAGCGAAUCCCAAAAAGCCGGUCCCAGUUCGGAUUGAGGUCUGCAACUCGACCUCAUGAAGUCGGAGUCGCUAGUAAUCGCAGAUCAGCAACGCUGCGGUGAAUACGUUCCCGGGUCUUGUACACACC